GACGAACGCUGGCGGCGUGCUUAACACAUGCAAGUCGAACGCUGAAGCUCAGCUUUUGUUGGGUGGAUGAGUGGCGAACGGGUGAGUAACACGUGAGUAACCUGCCCCCUUCUUUGGGAUAACGCCCGGAAACGGGUGCUAAUACUGGAUAUUCACUGGUCUUCGCAUGGGGGUUGGUGGAAAGGGUUUUUCUGGUGGGGGAUGGGCUCGCGGCCUAUCAGCUUGUUGGUGGGGUGAUGGCCUACCAAGGCUUUGACGGGUAGCCGGCCUGAGAGGGUGACCGGUCACAUUGGGACUGAGAUACGGCCCAGACUCCUACGGGAGGCAGCAGUGGGGAAUAUUGCACAAUGGGCGCAAGCCUGAUGCAGCGACGCCGCGUGAGGGAUGGAGGCCUUCGGGUUGCGAACCUCUUUCGCUCAUGGUCAAGCCGCAACAAUGGUUGUGGUGAGGGUAGUGGGUAAAGAAGCGCCGGCUAACUACGUG
rnacentral:rRNA from 1 species